ACGCUCGACACCUACGGGAGGCAGCAGUGGGGAAUAUUGCACAAUGGGGGAACCCUGAUGCAGCGACGCCGCGUGAGCGAAGAAGUAUUUCGGUAUGUAAAGCUCUAUCAGCAGGGAAGAAAAUGACGGUACCUGACUAAGAAGCCCCGGCUAACUACGUGCAAGCAGCCGCGGUAAUCUGAGCGGCUGGCAAGGC
rnacentral:rRNA from 1 species